UGGCGGCCUUAGCGCGGUGGUCCCACCUGACCCCAUGCCGAACUCAGAAGUGAAACGCCGUAGCGCCGAUGGUAGUGUGGGGUUUCCCCAUGCGAGAGUAGGGAACUGCCAG
rnacentral:rRNA from 1 species